rnacentral:rRNA from 1 species
UACGAAGGGGGCUAGCGUUGCUCGGAAUCACUGGGCGUAAAGGGUGCGUAGGCGGGUUUCUAAGUCAGAGGGGAAAUCCUGGAGCUCAACUCCAGAACUGCCUUUGAUACUGGAAGUCUUGAGUAUGGGAGAGGUGAGUGGAACUGCGAGUGUAGAGGUGAAAUUCGUAGAUAUUCGCAAGAACACCAGUGGCGAAGGCGGCUCACUGGCCCAUUACUGACGCUGAGGCACGAAAGCGUGGGGAGCAAACAGG